AGCGGCGGACGGGUGAGUAACGCGUGGGUAACCUGCCUCAUACACAUGGAUAACAUACCGAAAGGUAUGCUAACACAAGAUGAUAUAAGAGAUUCGCAUGGAUUUCUUAUCAAAGCUCCGGCGGUAUGAGAUGGACCCGCGUCUGAUUAGCUAGUUGGUAAGGUAACGGCUUACCAAGGCGACGAUCAGUAGCCGACCUGAGAGGGUGAUCGGCCACAUUGUAACUGAGACACGGUCCAAACUCCUACGGGAGGCAGCAGUGGGGAAUAUUGCACAAUGGGCGAAAGCCUGAUGCAGCAACGCCGCGUGAGCGAUGAAGGCCUUCGGGUCGUAAAGCUCUGUCCUCAAGGAAGAUAAUGACGGUACUUGAGGAGGAAGCCCCGGCUAACUACGUGCCAGCAGCCGCGGUAAUACGUAGGGGGCUAGCGUUAUCCGGAUUUACUGGGCGUAAAGGGUGCGUAGGUGGUUUCUUAAGUCAGGAGUGAAAGGCUACGGCUCAACCGUAGUAAGCUCUUGAAACUGGGAAACUUGAGUGCAGGAGAGGAAAGUGGAAUUCCUAGUGUAGCGGUGAAAUGCGUAGAUAUUAGGAGGAACACCAGUAGCGAAGGCGGCUUUCUGGACUGUAACUGACACUGAGGCACGAAAGCGUGGGGAGCAAACAGGAUUAGAUACCCUGGUAGUCCACGCCGUAAACGAUGAGUACUAGGUGU
rnacentral:rRNA from 1 species